rnacentral:rRNA from 1 species
AACGCUAGCGGCAGGCUUAAUACAUGCAAGUUGAGGGGCAGCAUGAUAUACGCGAGUAUAUUGAUGGCGACCGGCGGACGGGUGAGUAAUAGGUAGGAGACCUACCUCAUACAGGGGGAUAGCAUAGAGAAAUCUGUGGUAAUACCCCAUGAGGUUAUAUGAAUAGAGGCAUAUAAUCAAAGCAUAAGCGAUUAUGCGGUAUGAGAGGGGCCUACUGACCAUUAGCUAGUUGGUGAGGUAAGGGCUCACCAAGGCGAAGAUGGUUAGGGGUUUUGAGAGAGAGACCCCCCACAUUGGAACUGAGAUACGGUCCAGACUCCUACGGGAGGCAGCAGUAGGGAAUAUUGGGCAAUGGGCGGAAGCCUGACCCAGCCAUGCCGCGUGAAGGAAGACGGCCUUAUGGGUUGUAAACUUCUUUACUAUGCGACUAACUAGAUUUACGAGAUAAUUCUAUAGAAUGUAGCAUAGCAAAAAGCACCGGCUAACUCCGUG